rnacentral:rRNA from 1 species
GAUGAACGCUAGCGGCAGGCUUAAUACAUGCAAGGUCGAACGGGAAUUGGGUAGCAAUACCUGAUGAUAGUGGCGCACGGGUGCGUAACGCGUAUGCAACCUACCUUUAACAGGGGGAUAGCCCGGAGAAAUUCGGAUUAAUACCCCAUAGUAUUAUGGAGAGGCAUCUUUUCAUGAUUAAAGUUCCGGCGGUUAAAGAUGGGCAUGCGUGCCAUUAGCUAGUUGGUGAGGUAACGGCUCACCAAGGCGACGAUGGUUAGGGGUCCUGAGAGGGUUAUCCCCCACACUGGUACUGAGACACGGACCAGACUCCUACGGGAGGCAGCAGUAAGGAAUAUUGGUCAAUGGGCGGAAGCCUGAACCAGCCAUGCCGCGUGCAGGAAGACGGCCUUAUGGGUUGUAAACUGCUUUUGUCAGGGAAUAAACCCUCGUUUGCGAACGAGGCUGAAGGUACCUGAAGAAUAAGCAUCGGCUAACUCCGUG